GAGAUAACGGAGGUGGCCAACACAUAGGCUGCGAUGUAGCCGUGCAACGCAGAGCAAAGUUCGAUAGUGCCAGAUUGAAUUUAUUUCACAAACUUUGCCUUCGAUGAAGUCGAUGCCCGAUACCUGUAUGUUUGCAUCCAUAAUCAAAGAAAAAGAGAAUUAGGACCCCCAAAUUGAUAGGAACAACUAUAGGAGUGCAUUAAUAUCUGUGAAAUUGAGAAUAAAAAUGAGGAUUUAGUGGAUUUGUCGUGGCUGCAGCUGUCAAAAUGCCUGUAAAUCUUUUUUGAUAUUUUUCUGAUUUAAGCUCGCCGGACCAGAGACUGAGUGGGGCUGAGGAUCAUUUGGGAACGGUGAUGGAAUCUGGAGCUUAGGGACGACUGCAGCCGUCUUUUUUACCGGAAUCCUUGAAGAUAAGCGAGAGAUCGAGAUCUGCGAGCUGCACUGGGCUCCGGCGCCGCCUCCACCGGCACGGCGAGGCAAAGGGCGGCCCCCAUCUGCGACUCCGAAUCCUGUUCGUGGAAGACCCAAUUUCCCAAUUUUUCCACCUUGGAGGAAGAUUUUCCAUCGAUCUGGGUAGAAUGACCUUUUUUCCCCUCUUGGUUGAAAAUGAACAGUAUGUGGGAAUAGAAGUUCACUCGAAUUUGAAAAACCCACAAAUCAUAAGAUCUAUUCACGCCUCAUACGAACCCAACAGAAAAUCCCAUAAAUCUUGUCACUAGAAUCUGGAAAACCGAAGAACCUAGACCUGAAUCCCAAUUUGAAAACCAAAAAACACAAACCCCAGUCGAACACCCUCUUUCUUUUUCUUCGAUGAACAGUAAUCAGGAAAAUGAUGAUUUUUU
rnacentral:lncRNA from 1 species